CUGGAAUCGAGUUGUUUGAGUUCUGAGGCUGUUGAAAGUUGUCAAAGAAACUACUGCUCUGCAGUCAUAAUAGGACUCUGUGGGAUGUGGAUAAAAAAACAGAUUUGGAAGAGGCAUAUUGAGAUUCUCUUCUGUUGCUUGCCUGGUGCUGAAGAAGAUGAAUGUGAACUGCAUCACCCAAGACUAAAACUGAACAGACUGCUUAAAACCUAGUAAUAUGGGCAGCCUUCAGUUGGAUGAUUUUGUAGCUGGAUGGGUAGGAGGAGCUGCAGGUGUAAUUGUGGGACAUCCUUUGGACACAGUAAAGAUAUCUGAGCAGCAAGAAAAGCUAGAAGGCACAGUCCACAUACAUUCUCCUUUAUAAUGCAAGUUGGGGGUUCAGGGAUAGGGCAUCAAACAGAGUGGAGACAAAAGGAGACAAGAUCACCCUGCUUUGCAGCUCCCCAAUAUCUGGAGCUGAUCGGCUGGUUUUCCUUAUCACUACUGGCCUCCUGCUAUCCUCUUAUUAGUGGAUUUUCUCUCCAUAGAUAACAUUGUGGUGUUUCUUGAU